rnacentral:rRNA from 1 species
AUGUUAGCGGCGGACGGGUGAGUAACACGUGGAUAACCUACCUAUAAGACUGGGAUAACUUCGGGAAACCGGAGCUAAUACCGGAUAAUAUUUUGAACCGCAUGGUUCAAAAGUGAAAGACGGUCUUGCUGUCACUUAUAGAUGGAUCCGCGCUGCAUUAGCUAGUUGGUAAGGUAACGGCUUACCAAGGCAACGAUGCAUAGCCGACCUGAGAGGGUGAUCGGCCACACUGGAACUGAGACACGGUCCAGACUCCUACGGGAGGCAGCAGUAGGGAAUCUUCCGCAAUGGGCGAAAGCCUGACGGAGCAACGCCGCGUGAGUGAUGAAGGUCUUCGGAUCGUAAAACUCUG